GAGUAUGGGAGGGGGAGAUGGAAUUAGUGGUGUAGGGGUAAAAUCCGUAGAUAUCACUAGGAAUACCCAAAGCGAAGGCGAUCUCCUGGAACAAUACUGACGCUAAGGCGUGAAAGCGUGGGGAGCAAACGGGAUUAGAUACCCCGGUAGUCCACGCCCUAAACGAUGUUCACUAGUCGUCGGAAUGCUUGUCAUUUCGGUGAUGCACUUAACAGGUUAAGUGAACCGCCUGGGGAGUACGGUCGCAAGAUUAAAACUCAAAGGAAUAGACGGGGACCCGCACAAGUGGUGGAGCAUGUGGUUUAAUUCGAAGAUACGCGAAGAACCUUACCUAGCCUUGACAUUGAAGAAACACACUAGAGAUAGAGUGGUGCCCUUCGGGGAAUCUGAAAACAGGUGCUGCACGGCUGUCGUCAGCUCGUGUCGUGAGAUGUUGGGUUAAGUCCCGCAACGAGCGCAACCCUCGUCCUUAGUUGCUAGCAGGUUAAGCUGAGCACUCUAAGGAGACUGCCUUCGUAAGGAGGAGGAAGGUGAGGACGACGUCAAGUCAUCAUGGCCCUUACGGCUAGGGCUACACACGUGCUACAAUGGGGCGUACAGAGUGUUGCGAUACCGCGAGGUGGAGCUAAUCACUUAAAGCGUCUCUCAGUUCGGAUUGGAGUCUGCAACUCGACUCCAUGAAGCUGGAAUCACUAGUAAUCGUAGAUCAGCAAUGCUACGGUGAAUACGUUCCCGGGUCUUGUACUCACCGCCCGUCACACCAUGGGAGUUGAUUUCACCCGAAAUUGGGAAGCUAACCUUCGGGAGGCUACCACUUACGGUG
rnacentral:rRNA from 1 species